rnacentral:lncRNA from 1 species
CUACAUCAGCAGUUGACGGGAUAGUAAUGAUAGUGUUGAAUACUUUCCCCUAAAAGCACUAUUUCGCAUUUUCACACAAAACCCCAUAAGCAAAAAUACGAAAUUGCCCUCCUUUCAGAAGACAUCAACAACAAACUUUAAGCCUCCAAAACUUCAUGUUCUGUCUGUCUCAAUCUCCGAGUUGGCAGCCAAUCCCCAUGAACAAAGAAGAGUAGAGAGCAAUCGCGGUCGUGCUCGUGCCACCUUCUCCCUUCUCCAGUGAUACCUUCAAACCCCCCACCCCACUCUACGUGCGCGCGCGCGUGGAGCCUCCCCUCAAGGCUCCUUGCGUCGAAUCUAAGGUCGCCGGGAGUUCACGCGAGGUUGGCCGCCACUUGUGGCGGCGACGAUCUUCAUGAGCCCCUUCGUCUUCCUUCAAAGAGAGAGAGAGAGAGAGCGGGGCGCAAUGGCAAUGGGCUGGCCUACAGGCAACGACGACGAAGACCUGGUCACAGAUGCAGGUGAGGACACAACGGAGCAAAGGCCGACGAAAGAAAAAAGCGACGGUAUGUAAUUUGAGUGCAACCUUUAGAGGAUCUCAACCUCAUAAUCUAUAAAGAUUUCAGGGGCCUCAUGAAAAGCCGUGCCGGGGAAUCCUCACGUCCAAGCUGCGCGAUGCAUUUGCUUCUUCAAUUAUUGCUUCCUUUAUUUUCUUUUUUAAGGUGCACAUUACAGUGAAGGGGAAUCUCUCCCGCUGCUGGUCCAUCCAUAUUCUUAUCCCGCAUGGCGAGCGUGGCGAUGAUGCAAAACAUCUGUCAGAGGAUACGACACGACAUCUGAAUCAAAUGCCGAC